rnacentral:sRNA from 12 species
ACUGUGGAGUGUACAAGAACUUGUGAGUAGCAUAUCUGUCUACAGAUUGCAAAAGCAUAUACUAUGAAGCAGUAA